rnacentral:tRNA from 1 species
GGGAAUGUGUCUUAGCGGUAGAGUGCUUGCCUAGCAUGCAUGAAGCCCUGGGUUCGAUUCCUCAGUACCA